ACUUAAAUAGCUUAUUUAGAGCAUAAUAUUGAAGAUAUUAAGGAAAUUUUUUAUUUUUAGGUA
rnacentral:tRNA from 1 species